AAACAACAAUAAGCAUGUUUUUUUCAGGUUUAGAAGAGAAACCCUUUCAUACAAACACAUCAGGUGCCAUUAUGAUGCGGCAGUGACAGCAUGAGAUUAUAAGGCAGAGAUUGCAGAGCUGACACUGAUGAUUUCUGUGAAGGCACAUAGAUUUAUUGAGCUCAGUGAUCUGUUUAAUGGCCCUCUAAAUUGAAUUAGCUGGAUCUGAAUGUUC
rnacentral:lncRNA from 11 species